GAUGAACGCUGGCGGCGUGCCUAAUACAUGCCAGUCGAGCGAACGGACGAGAAGCUUGCUUUUCUGAUGUUAGCGGCGGACGGGUGAGUAACACGUGGAUAACCUACCUAUAAGACUGGGAUAACUUCGGGAAACCGGAGCUAAUACCGGAUAAUAUUUUGAACCGCAUGGUUCAAAAGUGAAAGACGGUCUUGCUGUCACUUAUAGAUGGAUCCGCGCUGCAUUAGCUAGUUGGUAAGGUAACGGCUUACCAAGGCAACGAUGCAUAGCCGACCUGAGAGGGUGAUCGGCCACACUGGAACUGAGACACGGUCCAGACUCCUACGGGAGGCAGCAGUAGGGAAUCUUCCGCAAUGGGCGAAAGCCUGACGGAGCAACGCCGCGUGAGUGAUGAAGGUCUUCGGAUCGUAAAACUCUGUUAUUAAGGAAGAACAUAUGUGUAAGUAACUGUGCACAUCUUGACGGUACCUAAUCAGAAAGCCACGGCUAACUACGUG
rnacentral:rRNA from 1 species